CUGCGAGUGAAGCGGGAAAAGCUCAAAUUUAAAAGCUGGUAGUCUUUGACUGUCCGCAUUGUAAUCUAGAGAAGUGUUACCCGCGUUGGACCGUGUACAAGUCUCCUGGAAUGGAGCGUCAUAGAGGGUGACAAUCCCGUCUUUGACACGGACUACCAAGGCUUUGUGGUGCGCUCUCAAAGAGUCGAGUUGUUUGGGAAUGCAGCUCAAAAUGGGUGGUAAAUUCCAUCUAAAGCUAAAUAUUGGCGAGAGACCGAUAGCGAACAAGUACCGUGAGGGAAAGAUGAAAAGAACUUUGGAAAGAGAGUUAAACAGUACGUGAAAUUGCUGAAAGGGAAACGCUUGAAGUCAGUCGCGUCGGCCGGGGAUCAACCUUGCUUUUGCUGGGCGUAUUCUCUGGUUGACGGGCCAGCAUCAAUUUUGACCGCUGGAAAAAGGUUGAGGGAAUGUGGCAUCUUCGGAUGUGUUAUAGCCCUUGGUCGUAUACAGUGAUUGGGAUUGAGGAACUCAGCACGCCGCAAGGCCGGGUUUUUAACCACGUUCGUGCUUAGGAUGCUGGCAUAAUGGCUUUAAUCGACCCGUCUUGAAACACGGACCAAGGAGUCUAACAUGCCUGCGAGUGUUUGGGUGGAAAACCCGAGCGCGUAAUGAAAGUGAAAGUUGAGAUCCCUGUCGUGGGGAGCAUCGACGCCCGGACCUGACCUUUUGUGACGGAUCUG
rnacentral:rRNA from 1 species